UACGUAGGGUGCGAGCGUUAAUCGGAAUUACUGGGCGUAAAGAGUGCGCAGGCGGCCUCGCAAGUCAGACGUGAAAGCCCCGGGCUUAACCUGGGAAUGGCGUUUGAAACUAUGGGGCUGGAGUGUGGCAGAGGGGGGUAGAAUUCCACGUGUAGCGGUGAAAUGCGUAGAUAUGUGGAGGAAUACCGAUGGCGAAGGCA
rnacentral:rRNA from 2 species